AUGGGAAUGUUGGUAGAGAUAUGUCCUUUGGACUAUAAACAAGAAAAGACCCUUGAGAUCAACAGAAGUCCCUCAGUCCCUUGGGCUAUAAACAAUAUGGGAAUUUUGGAAAAGAGAAUACCCUUAAGAUCAACAAAAGUCCCUCAGUCCUUUGGACUAUAAACAAGAUAAAAACGUUGAUCAACCAAAGUCCCUUAGUCUCGUGGACUAUAAACCAGAUGGGAAUGUUGGAAGAGAAAGUCCCUUGGACUAUAAACAAGAAAAGUCUAUUAAUAUCAACGAAAGUCCCUCAAUCCUUUGGACUAUAAAUAAGAUGGAAAUGUUGGAUGAUUAAAUUCCCUUGGACUAUAAACAAGAAAAGUCCUUUAAGAUAAAUGAAAGUUCCUCAGUCAUGUAAUUUGGUUUGUAUGUUAUAAAGACUUGGAAAACAUAUCAUAAUGUGAUAUUAUUUGUUCUUUUAUGUUCAUAAUGUAUGUUACGAUUCUUCAAGCUGGAUUUGGAAUUUUAUGUUCAUGAGGGUUGUGAUUCAAAUCUGUUUAUUGGUUUAAUAAUAAAAAAUAAAAAAAAAUCCCUUGGGAUCUACGAAAAUGUCUGUUAGACCAUGAACAAGAAAAGUCCCUUUAAGAUAAAUAAAAGUCUCUCAACCAUUUGGACUAUAAACAAGAUGGGAAUGUUGGAAGAAAAAAGUCCCUUGAUAUCAACGAUAGUCCCUCAGUCCCUUGGUAUAUAAACAAGAUGGGAAUGUUGGAAGAGAAAAGUCCUUUAGACUAUAAACAAGAAAAGUCCCUUAAGAUCAACAAAAGUCCCUCAGUCCCUUGAACUAAAAACAAGAUGGGAAUGUUGGAAGAGAAAAGUCCCUUGGAUUAUAAACAAGAAAAGUCCUUUAGGAUCAACGAAAGUCCUUCAGUCCCUUGGACUAUAAACAAGAUGGGAAUGUUGGAAGAGAAAAGUCCCUUAAGAUCAACAAAAGUCCGUUAGGAUCUUCGAAAGUUCCUCAGUCCCUUGGACUACAAGAUGGGAAUAUUGGAAGAAAAAUGUCCUUUGGACUAUAAAUAAAAAAAACCCCGUGGGAUCAAAUAAAGUCCCUCAGUCCCUUGGAAUAUAAACAAGAUGGAAAUAUUGGAAGAGAAAAGUCUUAUGGACUAUAAACAAGAAAAGUCCCUUAGGAUCAACAAAAGUCCCUCAAUCCCUUGGACUAUAAACAAGAUGUAAAUAUUGGAAGAGAAAAGUCAUAUGGACUAUAAACAAAAAAAGUCCCUUAAAAUCAAUGAAAGUCCCAGAGUUUCUUGUACUAUAAACAAGAUGGGAAUGUUAGAAGAGAAAGGUCCUUUAGACUAUUAACUAGGAAUGUCCCUUAAGAUUAACGAAAGUCUCUCAGUCCCUUUGACUAUAAACAAGAUGGGAAUUUUGAAAAAGAAAAGUCCUUUGGCCUAUAAACAAGAAAAAUCCCUUAAGAUCCUAUAAACAAGUUGGGAAUUUUGGAAGAAAAAAGUCUCUUAAGAUCAACAAAAGUUCCUUAAGUUCAACGAAAGUCCCACAGUCCAUUGAACUAUAAAUAAAAUGAGAAUGUUGAAAAAGGAAAGUCCCUUAAGAUCAACAAAAGUACCUUAAGAUCAAGGAAAGUCCCUCAGUGCCGCGGACCAUAAACAAGAUGAGCAUGUUGGAAGAAAAAAGUCUUUUAAGAUCUACAAAAGUUCGUUAAGAGCAACGAAAGUCCCUUAGUCCCUUGGAUUAUAAACAAGGUAGGAAUGUUGGAAGAGAAAAAUCCUUUAGACUAUAAACAAAAAAAGUCCCUUAAGAUCAACGAAACUCCCCCUGUCCAUCGGACUAUAAACUAGAUAGGAAUGUUGGAAUAGAAAAGACCCUUAAGAUCAGUAAAAGUUCUUUAAGAUCAACGAAAGUCCCUCAGUCCCUUGAACUAUAAACAAUAUGAGAAUGUUGGAAGAGAAAGUCCUUUGGACUAUAAACAAGAAAAGUCCCUCAGUCUUUUGGAUUAUAAACGAGGUGAGAAUGUUGGAAGAGAAAAAUCCCUUAAGAUGAACAAAAGUUCUUUUAGAUCAACGAAAGUCCCUUAAUCCUUUGGACUAUAAAGAAGAUAAGAAUGUUAGAAAAGAAAAAUCCCUUGGAGUAUAAACAAGAAAAGUAUUUUAAUAUCAACGAAAGUCCCUCAGUCCCUUGGACUAUAAACAAGAUGGGAAUGUGGGAAGAAAAAAGUCCCUCAAGAUCUUCAAAAGUUCCUUAAUAUCAAUGAAAGUCCAUGAGUCCCUUGGACUUUAAAAAGAUGGGAAUGUUGGUAGAGAAAUGUCCUUUGGACUAUAAACAAGAAAAGUCACUUAAAAUCAGUGAAAGUCCCUUAGUCCUUGAACUAUAAACAAUAUGGGAAUUUUGGAAGAGAGAAGACCCUUAAGAUCAACAAAAGUCCCUCAGUCUUUUGGACUAUAAACAAGAUGAGAAUGUUGGAAAAGAAAAGUCCUUUGGACUAUAAAGAAGAAAAGUACCUUAAGAUCAACGAAAGUCCCUCAGUCUUUGGACUAUAACCAAGAUGGGAAUGUUGGAAGAGAAAAGUCCUUUAAGAUCAACCAAAGUUCCUUAAGAUCAACCAAAGUCCAUCAGUCUCGUGGACUAUAAACCAGAUGGGAAUGUUGGAAGAGAAAGUCCGUUGGACUAUACAAAAAAAAGUCUAUUAAUAUCAACGAAAGUCCCUCAAUCCUUUGGACUAUAAAUAAGAUGAAAAUGUUGGAUGAUUAAAUUCCCUUGGACUAUAAACAAAAAAAGUCCUUUAAUAUAAACAAAAGUUCCUCAGUCAUGUAAUUUGGUUUGUAUGUUAUAAAGACUUGUAAAACAUAUCAUAAUGUUAUAUUGUUUGUUCUUUUAAGUUCAUAAUGUAUGUUACGAUUCUUCAAGCUGGAUUUGGAAUUUUAUGUUCAUGAGGGUUGUGAUUUAAAUCUGUUUAUUGGUUUAAUAAUAAUAAAAAAAAAUCCCUUGAGAUCUACGAAAAUGUCUGUUCGACUAUGAACAAGAAAAGUCCCUUUAAGAUAAAUGAAAGUCUCUCAACCAUUUGGACUAUAAACAAGAAGGGAAUGUUGGAAGAAAAAAGUCCCUUGAUAUCAACGAUAGUCCCUCAAUCCCUUUAGACUAUAAACAAAAAAAGUCCCUUAAGAUCAACGAAACUCCCCCAGUCCCUUGGACUAUAAACUAGAUAUGAAUGUUGGAAGAGAAAAGACUCUUAAGAUCAACAAAAGUUAUUUAAGAUCAUCGAAAGUCUCUCAGUCCCUUGGACUAUAAACAAUAUGAGAAUGUUGGAAGAGAAAGUCCUUUGCACCAUAAACAAGAAAAGUCCCUUAAAAUCAACAAAAGUCCCUCAGUCUCUUGGACUAUAAAUGAGGUGGGAAAGUUGGAAGAGAAAAGUUCCUUAAGAUGAACAAAAGUUCUUUUAGAUCAACGAAAGUCCUUUAAUCCCUUGGACUAUAAAGAAGAUGAGAAUGUUAGAAGAGAAAAAUCCCUUGGAGUAUAAACAAGAAAAGUCUAUUACGAACAACGGAAGUCCCUCAGUCCCUUGGACUAUAAACAAGAAAAGUCCUUUAAGAUCAACGAAAGUCCCUCAGUCCCUUGGACUAUAAACAAAAUGAGAAUGUUGGAAAAGAAAAGUCCCUCAUAAUCUUCAAAAGUUUCUUAAUAUCAAUGAAAGUCCAUGAGUCCCUUGGACUUUAAACAAGAUGGGAAUGUUGGUAGAGAAAUUUUUCUGGAUUUCCAUAUCUCCAACAAACUUUGUAUGUUAUUGUACUUUCAGUGGUGUUUCUUCUGCUGCACAAAGAUUAAAGCAGGAUACCGACGGUAAGUUUAGAAGAUUCUUGUUUUUAUUUUUUGCAGAAGAAUUAUGUCACAGUUUCUUGAGUUUUGAUAUCGCAAAAUAAGAUGCAGGUUUGAAUGGGAGGACAAGCAAUGGAUUAGUGUGUGACCUAUGUGUGGUAUGCGAGGACCAGGAGUACAACAUGGCAUUUGUCGUGUAAGCACCUUGACGACUCUUUCCUUAUGAUUUUAAUAGGUUUGUAUGUAGUAUGAAAUAUAUGACCCAAAUAGCAACAUUAAGAGACUAUCCUGGAGAAGUAGGGGGAGGACAUUCUGUUUGAGUCUUUUGUGUAUCUUUAAAGGCAUGUUGAGAGCCCGAAAUUGUUGGGAAUUAUUUUCCAAAAUACUAUUAAAUAAAAAUUGGACAUUUCUUAUUUGUUUUUAGGACGAAGAUCAAACUUGAAACUGAACUCCAAUUUAGUUUUGCCAAUUUCCCUCAGUCGUGAUAUUUAUGUGUACAAAACAGUAAAGUUUGAAUGCUACGUGAUCACUAUUAUAUGCUAAACAGUAGUGGGUGUUAAAAGAAAGUUAUCUGAUGCUAAAUGAUUACAUGAUAUUAUGGAGUAGACUCGAAGUGCAAAAGUAACUGCGUUCAAAGCAACAAAUGUUCUAUAACGACUAUUAACUUGAUUUGGGCAAUUUCUUUUUCCUAUCCUAUUUUUUCCUUUGUAAGCUUUAGCUUGGGUAUCCAUUUCUGUUAAACUUUGUUUUUGGUUUCUAAUAUUGCAGAUAUAUGGACAUACUAAGAAAAGACACUAGAAGGAAAUGGUAGAUGAAAGAAAUUGUUUUUAAAGAGACAGAAGAAAUAGAGAUUAAAGAAAGGGAGUUCUAGAACCAUAACUAAGGCCAGUGUAACCAGUAGUAAGAAUCGAAGAAAUGCAUUGUUAUCACUUCUAGCUAUUCGAGACAAAUCUAACUGAAGGAAAACAUGGAGUGCGAGAAGAAACUGGAUUGAAUAUUCUGAUGGUGUUUUGAGGCCUUUCGAAGAGGAAGAGCCGAAGAAAUGCACUGUUAUCACUUCAAGCUAUUCGAAACAAGAAAAAAGAAUCUGCAUUCAACAAAAGAACUCCGUAAACGAGUUUCAUAACCAAGGUGAGUAAUGUGUCCCUUUAUGUUAUAUGAAUUAUGAUAAUAUACGAGUAAUUUGUAUUGCAUACUUGAUAUUUCUUACAAAGGGCAUGCAGAUUACUAUUAUGUGGCUUCGUAUUAUUUCUUACAUAGUAGAGAUUUUAAAAGCAAUUAAAUCAAAUUAUUAUUGAUAAUAAAUUGAAGUUUACUGAAUAGGACUACAUGGUCAUGUGUGUUGAGAAUAAAUUUGACGUUUAGCAUAGUAUGCAUAAUUAGCUGGCGUAGCUCAGUUGGUUAGAGCAUGUGGCUUUAAAAUCACAAGGUCGAAGGUUCAAACCCUUCCUCGCAUCUACAUUUUCUUAGUAUAUAUAGUUUGAUAUUCAACUCUUCUGGUAGGCAUAUGCGAGGUCUGAACCCUGUUGGACUUGAGAUUGAGAUAUGCUACACAACGACAACGCCUUUAAGGAUACCAAUUGGUUUUACGAGAUUGUUUCUUAAUGACAUUAAGAUUCAUCUUUGAUUUUUAAAAGUUUAGUUUUUAUCUCUUAAUUUCCAGGAAUAAACAUAACAGCAUCAACAAGUUCAUAUUUUUUGUUCUUACAAAUAUUUUUGAAAAGGUUAAAGCAGAGAUAUUAUUAUCUUCAAAUUUUAAACUAUAUUUUUCCUUACAAAUGUUUAGAUAAUUGUUUGACAAAUAUACAAGUCCAAGACAUAUGUUUUGUCUUUGGUCAUUAGGACAUGAGCUUGCUGCAUCUUAAAACAACUUAACAUGUAACAGUUUCCCUCAUAGAGUCUGGCCUGUGUAGGAUGUUUGAACCUGUCUAGCCGAUUUAGCAGGGGCUUUGUUGAGUAGGACAUGAGAUUGAUAUAUCUUAGAACAAUUUACUAGAUAAGUUAUUCCCUGAUAAAGUCUGGCCUACAUCAGAUUUUAUGAACUUGAACAUGCCUUCCCAAUUUGCAGUAUUGAUUUGAGCUAUGCUUGCCAACCUAGCACAUUAGCCGAUGGAUACUUUUUCAAUAAAAUCUCAAAUGAUGCUUUUAUAUAGUUACCAAUUGGUUUUACGAGAAAAUGAAGCUAAGAAUGAUGAUCACUACUACUACAAUGUAUAACAACAAUCAUUUUUAGCUUCAUUUUCAAUUAAAUUGUUUGAAUUUGUACUGAAAUUGUGUGUUCAUUUUAACUUAAAAUGUGUGCUAUUAAUGAUCGUAGAGUGCCAGUUUGAAGGGUAUUUUGAAUCGAUUUGAAAGCGAUCACAGCUACGAGGUAAUUUUUUUUUUCUUCCUUGAACAUUUUAGUCUAUGUAUUCAGCUAUGUUUUUGUGCGUGUACUCUCACCGUUUAAGACUAGAAACAUUAUAUUUUUGUUAGACUCCAAUAUCUCUUUAACUUUUUGCUGCAAUAUGCUAGUAUUUGUUAUUAACCUCAAUCAUGCCUUUGCAGUGUUAAUGAUAUACGACCUAAUCAUUGUAAUAUAGGUUGUUGCUUGAUUGUUGUUGGUGUGAAUAGUAUACGAUUUGUAAUGGAUUUGGUGACACUGGUAGGCCGAGAUCAAUAGAUAUAGUUUUGUCUGAGUUUAAUUGCACAUUGUCCACCCUUUAGAUUAGUGUGCCUACUAGAUCCAUUCUCAUAUUUGUCGGGUCGAAUCUUAUACUUACUAUUAAACAUGUAAGCCAUCCCUAAAUAAGCAUCCUAACCUGUCAGAACAGGGUUUCCAACAGAAGACCCAUCUGAGUUCAGAUGUUUUAUAUUGUCAUGUGACUAACCAGGUCUGUCAUUGUUUUAAAAGCAAAAUCAAUCUUACGUGUACAAUUUUAAGCAUGUAUACGAGUAUGUUGAUCAUGUAUGUGUCCAGUCGUAAGGCAACAUGCAUGGCAUUUUGUCUGUGGAGUUCACUCAUUUAAGCAAUUUCCAGCUUUUGCUCCUAGAUAAGCAUUCUGGGUAUGUUUAUGACUUAUGCAUAUGCAUGGGGUACAUAUAAGCAUGGAGAUUAUGUUAGGCUAUUCAAUCUAACUGAGGAAGCCAUUCACAAAAAGUCUGAUGGAGGGGUAGAUAUUGUUUUCUUCUAGAAUUUUGUUUUACAAUCGAGGCUCAAUGUUACAGGCUUGUUUCUUUGCUGAAAGUUGAUAUUGAUCUGUGGUAAUUGAGAUUAAUGGAACAGAUGUGUCGAAUUGUUUCUCAUAUUAGGUCAAACCUCAGUGAUUCAAAAACAAUGUCAGAGAAGGGGGGAUAUGGAAGGGCCUUCAGGCAUAAACAAUGAUAUUGAAGUCACUAAAGAAGGUGAAGCUAUAAAAGAAUACUUUGCUUUGCUAGCUUCUAUAGGAAAUAAUUAGAAACUUCUCAAUAGGGUGAAAAACGGGAACUCACUUGCAAAUGAUUUUUUGUUUUUGUAAAUAUAAUGUGCAUCUCACAUCAUUUUAGCAAUUAGUUGAAAAUUAAACAAUCAGUUUUGGUUAUGUUUAGGCACGACCAAUGGUGUGAAAAUUUCAAACUGUCUACUUCUUUUGGUGGCAUUUACAGGUUUGCAUCAAGGAGGAAUGGCUCAGUUGUUGAUCACUUCAAUGUGGCUGACAGAACUGUGAACUGGAACUUGAAUCUCAGGAGAGAACCCAGAGAUUGGGAGGUGUAGCAAAUUCAGCAACUUACACAGCUACUGCAGUAGCAUAAAUAGGAGAUAGAGACGACCAGUGGUGGUGGACGUUGGAGGAGAAAUGUAUUUUAUCAGUUUCCAGCUUUGCAGAGUUCAUUUAGAAAGAAAAUAGACUGGUACAUGGUACUAUUCUUCAUGAUUUCCCCCAUAAGCUUGCCUGGCCCAUUAAGCUUCCACCCAAAAUUAAAUUCUUUGUAUGGAUCGUACUCCAAAGAAGACUACAAAACCCGGAAAUAGAUAGUUUUUGAGAACAAAUAUUUCGACAUGGGCAGGAUAUGCAAUAGAAUCAAAGGUACUCUAUGGUUUUGGUUAGGUGGUGAAGCAAGAAACAAGGGAUGCCAUUUUGUGAGUCUGAUUACGGACUGGAGUUCGUUGGUGACUCUUUAGAUUGAUGCCUUCAUGUGAACUUACGCUCUAUGGAGGCGAAACAAGGAUGAGUGAUCUGAAAUGAAGGUGGAGACAAGUUUUAGCAAAGGCUCUGGCCUGUAUUGUAUGUCCAUUGUGUGUCAAUGUACUGUGUGAAACUCUUAUUCACACUGAUCUUGUAUCUUUACCUGACGCUACAUUGUAGGCUGAUCAGGAAUGUAACCUCUUGGGACAUCAAUAAAUUUCAACUUACCCCCAAAAAAUGUCAGUUUUUGUUAUGUUUAUAUCGCUCUUCUUUAAGAGAACUGCUAUAUUUUUAACAAUAAAUUUGUCCAGAAU
rnacentral:lncRNA from 1 species